UAGAGUUUGAUCCUGGCUCAGGACGAACGCUGAGCGGCGUGCUUAACACAUGCAAGUCGAGCGGUAAGGCCUUUCGGGGUACACGAGCGGCGAACGGGUGAGUAACACGUGGGUGAUCUGCCCUGCACUCUGGGAUAAGCUUGGGAAACUGGGUCUAAUACCGGAUAUGACUGCAUGCCGCAUGGUGUGUGGUGGAAAGAUUUAUCGGUGCAGGAUGGGCCCGCGGCCUAUCAGCUUGUUGGUGGGGUAAUGGCCUACCAAGGCGACGACGGGUAGCCGACCUGAGAGGGUGACCGGCCACACUGGGACUGAGACACGGCCCAGACUCCUACGGGAGGCAGCAGUGGGGAAUAUUGCACAAUGGGCGGAAGCCUGAUGCAGCGACGCCGCGUGAGGGAUGAAGGCCUUCGGGUUGUAAACCUCUUUCAGCAGGGACGAAGCGUGAGUGACGGUACCUGCAGAAGAAGCACCGGCUAACUACGUGCCAGCAGCCGCGGUAAUACGUAGGGUGCGAGCGUUGUCCGGAAUUACUGGGCGUAAAGAGUUCGUAGGCGGUUUGUCGCGUCGUUUGUGAAAACCGGGGCUCAACUUCGGGCUUGCAGGCGAUACGGGCAGACUUGAGUGUUUCAGGGGAGACUGGAAUUCCCUGGUGUAGCGGUGAAAUGCGCAGAUAUCAGGAGGAANCACCCGGUGGCGAAGGCGGGUUCUCUGGGAAAACAAANCUGACGCUGAGGAACGAAAGCGUGGGUAGCAAACAGGAUUAGAUACCCUGGUAGUCCACGCCGUAAACGGUGGGCGCUAGGUGUGGGUUCCUUCCACGGGAUCUGUGCCGUAGCUAACGCAUUAAGCGCCCCGCCUGGGGAGUACGGCCGCAAGGCUAAAACUCAAAGGAAUUGACGGGGGC
rnacentral:rRNA from 1 species